GUGCAGGUAAAUUAUGGGAGUUGGAGUGAGGGCUGAUAGUGGGUGCAGGUGAAUUAUGGGAGUUGGAGUGAGGUCUGAUAGUGGGUGCAGGUGAAUUAUGGGAGUUGGAGUGAGGUCUGAUAGUGGGUGCAGGUGAAUUAUGGGAGUUGGAGUGAGGUCUGAUAGUGGGUGCAGGUGAAUUAUGGGAGUUGGAUUGAGGUCUGAUAGUGGGUGCAGGGGAAUUAUGGGAGUUGUAGUGAGGUCUGAUAGUGGGUGCAGGGGAAUUAUGGGAGUUGUAGUGAGGUCUGAUAUUGGGUGCAGGGGAAUUAUGGGAGUUGUAGUGAGGUCUGAUAUUGGGUGCAGG